rnacentral:rRNA from 1 species
GUGGGGAAUAUUGGACAAUGGGCGAAAGCCUGAUCCAGCCAUGCCGCGUGUGUGAAGAAGGUCUUCGGAUUGUAAAGCACUUUAAGUUGGGAGGAAGGGCAGUAAGUUAAUACCUUGCUGUUUUGACGUUACCGACAGAAUAAGCACCGGCUAACUUCGUGCCAGCAGCCGCGGUAAUACGAAGGGUGCAAGCGUUAAUCGGAAUUACUGGGCGUAAAGCGCGCGUAGGUGGUUCGUUAAGUUGGAUGUGAAAGCCCCGGGCUCAACCUGGGAACUGCCUCCAAAACUACUGGGCUAGAGUACGGUAGAGGGUAGUGGAAUUUCCUGUGUAGCGGUGAAAUGCGUAGAUAUAGGAAGGAACACCAGUGGCGAAGGCGACUACCUGGACUGAUACUGACACUGAGGUGCGAAAGCGUGGGGAGCAAACAGGAUUAGAAACCCUGGUAGUCC